rnacentral:rRNA from 1 species
CCUACGGGAGGCAGCAGUGAGGAAUAUUGGUCAAUGGGCGGGAGUCUGAACCAGCCAAGUAGCGUGAAGGAUGACUGCCCUAUGGGUUGUAAACUUCUUUUAUAUGGGAAUAAAACGUUCCACGUGUGGGAUUUUGUAUGUACCAUAUGAAUAAGGAUCGGCUAACUCCGUGCCAGCAGCCGCGGUAAUACGGAGGAUCCGAGCGUUAUCCGGAUUUAUUGGGUUUAAAGGGAGCGUAGGUGGAUUGUUAAGUCAGUUGUGAAAGUUUGCGGCUCAACCGUAAAAUUGCAGUUGAAACUGGCAGUCUUGAGUACAGUAGAGGUGGGCGGAAUUCGUGGUGUAGCGGUGAAAUGCUUAGAUAUCACGAAGAACUCCGAUUGCGAAGGCAGUUCACUGGACUGCAACUGACACUGAGGCUCGAAAGUGUGGGUAUCAAACAGGAUUAGAUACCCUUGUAGUC